rnacentral:tRNA from 1 species
AGGGAAAGGGAGGGAUUCGAACCU